GACGAACGCUGGCGGCGUGCCUAAUACAUGCAAGUCGAGCGAAUGGAAGGGAGCUUGCUCCCUGAAGUUAGCGGCGGACGGGUGAGUAACACGUGGGCAACCUGCCUGUAAGACUGGGAUAACUUCGGGAAACCGGAGCUAAUACCGGAUACGUUCUUUCCUCGCAUGAGGAAAGAUGGAAAGAUGGUUUCGGCUAUCACUUACAGAUGGGCCCGCGGCGCAUUAGCUAGUUGGUGGGGUAAUGGCUCACCAAGGCGACGAUGCGUAGCCGACCGGAGAGGGUGCUCGGCCACACUGGGACUGAGACACGGCCCAGACGCCUACGGGAGGCAGCAGUAGGGAAUCUUCCGCAAUGGACGAAAGUCUGACGGAGCAACGCCGCGUGAGCGAAGAAGGCCUUCGGGUCGUAAAGCUCUGUUGUCAGGGAAGAACAAGUGCCAGAGUAACUGCUGGCACCUUGACGGUACCUGACCAGAAAGCCACGGCUAACUACGUGCCAGCAGCCGCCGUAAGAC
rnacentral:rRNA from 1 species